rnacentral:rRNA from 1 species
CUCCUGGAAACGGGUGGUAAUGCCGGAUGCUCCGGUUGGAUGCAUGUCCUUCCGGGAAAGAUUCUAUCGGUAUGGGAUGGGGUCGCGUCCUAUCAGCUUGAUGGCGGGGUAACGGCCCACCAUGGCUUCGACGGGUAGCCGGCCUGAGAGGGCGACCGGCCACAUUGGGACUGAGAUACGGCCCAGACUCCUACGGGAGGCAGCAGUGGGGAAUAUUGCACAAUGGGCGCAAGCCUGAUGCAGCGACGCCGCGUGCGGGAUGGAGGCCUUCGGGUUGUAAACCGCUUUUGAUCGGGAGCAAGCCCUUCGGGGUGAGUGUACCUUUCGAAUAAGCACCGGCUAACUACGUGCCAGCAGCCGCGGUAAUACGUAGGGUGCAAGCGUUAUCCGGAAUUAUUGGGCGUAAAGGGCUCGUAGGCGGUUCGUCGCGUCCGGUGUGAAAGCCCAUCGCUUAACGGUGGGUCUGCGCCGGGUACGGGCGGGCUGGAGUGCGGUAGGGGAGACUGGAAUUCCCGGUGUAACGGUGGAAUGUGUAGAUAUCGGGAAGAACACC